rnacentral:rRNA from 1 species
AACGAACGCUGGCGGCAGGCCUAACACAUGCAAGUCGAGCGAAGCCUUCGGGCUUAGCGGCGGACGGGUGAGUAACGCGUGGGAACGUGCCCUUUGGUACGGAAUAGCCCCGGGAAACUGGGAGUAAUACCGUAUGUGGUCGAGAGACGAAAGAUUUAUCGCCAAAGGAUCGGCCCGCGUUGGAUUAGGUAGUUGGUGGGGUAAUGGCCUACCAAGCCGACGAUCCAUAGCUGGUUUGAGAGGAUGAUCAGCCACACUGGGACUGAGACACGGCCCAGACUCCUACGGGAGGCUGCAGAGGGGAAUUUUAGACAAUGGGGGAAACCAUGAUCUAGCCAUGCCGCGUGAUCGAUGAAGGCCUUAGGGUUGUAAAGAUCUUUCAGUGGGGAAGAUAAUGACUGUACCCACAGAAGAAGCCCCGGCUAACUCCGUGCCAGCCGCCGCCGUAAAAC